GAUGAACGCUGGCGGCGUGCCUAAUACAUGCAAGUCGAGCGAACGGACGAGAAGCUUGCUUCUCUGAUGUUAGCGGCGGACGGGUGAGUAACACGUGGAUAACCUACCUAUAAGACUGGGAUAACUUCGGGAAACCGGAGCUAAUACCGGAUAAUAUUUUGAACCGUAUGGUUCAAAAGAGAAAGACGGUCUUGCUGUCACUUAUAGCUGGAUCCCGGCUGCAUUAGCUAGUUGGUAAGGUAACGGCUUACCAAGGCAACGAUGCAUAGCCGACCUGAGAGGCGGAUAGGCCGCAUGGGAGCGUAGACACGGUCCUGGCUACUGCGGGAGGCAGCAGUAGGGAAUCGUCGGCAACAGGCGAAAGCCUGACGGAGCAGCGCCGCGUGAGUGAUGACGGUCUUCGGAUCGUAAAACUCUGUUAUUAGGGAAGAACAGAUGUGUAAGUAACUGUGCAGAGCUUGACGGUACCUAGUAAAAAAGCAACGGCUAACUACGUG
rnacentral:rRNA from 1 species